CCGCGGCAGCCAAGAGUGGAGAGCGGGAGAGGGAUGUCCCCAUCUCUUUCUCUCAGCUGUUAGAAUCUGCCUUCGCUGAAGUGCGCUCACUGACACUGGAAGCCCUCUUGGAAAAGUUCUUAGCAGCAGCCUCUGGACUUGGAGAGAAGGGCCUGCCACCCUUGCUGUGCAACAUGAGAGAGAAGUUCUUAUUGUUGGCCAUGAAGGAAAAUCACCCAGAAUGCUUCUGCAAGAUACUGAAAAUUCUCCACUGCAUGGACCCUGGUGAGUGGCUUCCCCAGACGGAGCACUGUGUACAUCUGACCCCAAAGGAGUUCUUGAACUGGACGAUGGAUAUUGCUUCCAAUGAAAGGUUUGCCCCCAAUACCUCCUGUGCAACCUUGGUAAGAUGUAUGGUCCCAUCAGUCAUUAUGUAAUGAACUUGCACACAAUCCUGCCCUCAGGUCUCAGGUCCUGUGUUUCAUUCUAAGACUCAGCCUAAGAGUUCUAAACUCAAGCAAUAGAAUGAUGUCAGUGAUUUGCAUUAAUAACCAAAAGGUAAUUGCUUCCGGAGGCAUUUUUGUAACCAGGAGGUAGAGAUUUUCAGUGUUCACCUCUGCAUGGAUUAUAGACUAUCUGCAAAAACCAGUGUAUGAAAUAUGUCUGAUUGUAAUUUUGUGGGUUUUUUUGUUUGUUUAUUUUUCUAGAUCUGAAAUUCAGAGUGUAGCUCUGAGACUUGCUUCCAAAGUCAUUUCCCACCACAUGCAGACAUGUGUGGAGAACAGGGAAUUGAUAGCUGCUGAGCUGAAGCAGUGGGUUCAGCUGGUCAUCUUGUCAUGUGAAGACCAUCUUCCUAC
rnacentral:sRNA from 1 species